GAAAAGUGUGGAAUAUGGCUAGGUGGUAAUUGACUUAUUGAUUGUCAAUUAAGCCAAAUGCUAUAUAAAACACAAAGAAAUGUUUAGGGAAACAGUUCCAUGAAGACAUUGUCCAGCCUGAACAGUGUUAAGUGCAGCAGGUACAUCCAUCCAGUGUAAAUAUUGGAUACAAGGUGCAAUAGCAUUCAUUAAAGCCCAUGUAAGUUAACAGCAACAGAAAUGCAGAAGCAAGAAUUAAAUGAUGUUAAAACCGUAAAUGUAAGGAACUGCACAUAAACAGCUAAAAUGAGUCAUCAAGAAGGAGACCUAGCCAGUGUUCAUUGGCUGAAUAGAAAACUCCAUAUCAACUUGGCCUUCUGCACAAAGGAAAUGACACCUGCUGGUCAGAGUCUUCAACAGUGAUGGAUUCUGAUAUAAAUAAGCCCUGUGCCUGUCUGCUUUCCAGCUUUGCUGCCAGCUUGGCACAUAACUGAGACAAACGCCUGCAAGUUACUGAAUAUGCAGCAUCUGGACCUUUGCAGACAGAACAGUUAAGCCUGUGUUUUUCCAUAAGUAGUGUGCAGCUAGCAUGCAGGGCCACUAUCGAUACCAUACAGAGUUCUUAAGGUCCACAUGUAUCCAGAAUUAGGGUCCAAUUGUUAUGUUUGCAAAAUCUUGAUAUGUUCAUUGAUAUGUACUCCUAUCUACAGUUGUUUCCUACUGGUUACUUUUGCUUGAGGGGAACUUUUACACUGAUUCAAACAUAAAGGAAAUUGAUCCAUACAACUUCU